rnacentral:rRNA from 1 species
AUUGAACGCUGGCGGCAGGCCUAACACAUGCAAGUCGAGCGAGUGGCGGACGUGUGAGUAAUGUAUGGGGAUCUGCCUGAUGGCGGGGGAUAACUACUGGAAACGGUAGCUAAUACCGCAUACCAUCAGAUGACCCCAUAUGGGAUUAGCUAGUAGGUAAGGUAAAGGCUUACCUAGGCGACGAUCCCUAGCUGGUCUGAGAGGAUGAUCAGCCACACUGGAACUGAGACACGGCCCCGACUCCUACGGGAGGCAGCAGUGGGGAAUAUUGCACAAUGGGCGCAAGCCUGAUGCAGCCAUGCCGCGUGUAUGAAGAAGGCCUUCGGGUUGUAAAGUACUUUCAGUGGGGAGGCGUUACCGGCAGAAGAAGCACCGGCUAACUCCGUGCCAGCCGCCGCGGUAAUUC